rnacentral:pre_miRNA from 14 species
GCAGAAGGACAGACAGACAGUGCAGUCACCCAUAAAGUAGAAAGCACUACUAACAGCACUGGAGGGUGUAGUGUUUCCUACUUUAUGGAUGAGUGUACUGUGGGCUUCGGAGACCACGC